UGAAAAUUUUAUUUUAGUUUAAAAUAUUGAUUAAUAUUUUUAUAAAAAUAUAAAUUUUUGAUGUUAAAUAUAAGGAAUUAGUUAUAAGUCUUAUUUAUAAUGGAAAUAUUAUAUUAGAAAUAUAUUUUAAUAUUAACAAAAAUUGUGCCAGCAGUAGCGGUUAUUCAAUUAAUAUGAUUAAUUAUUAUUGAUUUAUAAUAUGAGGGUUAAUUAUUAAUGAUAAUUAAUUUUUUAGGUGAAAUUUUAGAAUUAAUUUGAUUUAUGGAAUAUUUUUUUUUAAUUAUUAAAUUUUUACAUAGACUAGGAUUAGAUACCCUAUUAUUUUAAAUGUAAAUAAGGUUAAAUUAAUUAGUAUUAGUUAUUUUCUUAAAAAUUAAAAAAUUUGGUAGUAUUAUAGUCUGUUUAGAGGAACCUGUUCUGUUAUUGAUAAUCCACGAUUAAUUUUACUUAUUUAAAUAGCUUGUAUAUCGUUGUAGUUGAGUUUUUUUAGAGAAUUUAAAUAUUCAAGAUUUUAAAUAAAAGAUUAAAUCAGAUCAAGAUGCAGUUUAUAUGUAAGAGAGAAAUGGGUUACAUUAGUUUAUAUUUAUAGUUAAGUGUAUUUAAAAUACUUUAUAAAUUGGAUUUAAAAGUAAUUAUUUUUAUUUAUUAAUAAUGAUUAAGUUUUAUAAUAUGCACAUAUUGCCCGUCGCUUUCAUUUAAAAUGGAAUAAGUCGUAACAAAGUAGUUGUACUGGAAAGUGUAGCUAGAAUUCA
rnacentral:ncRNA from 1 species